CCACCGUGUUCUUCAAUGAUAGUUAAUGAGGGCACAGACCACUAAUAAGCAGUGGAGGCAGCUUCUAGGCUAAGCUGAAAUUGGGCCUUCAAAUCUAAUCAAAAUUAGUCACUGCUGAGAAGAAACCAAAUGUGGUGUGUCCAUUUGGAUCUGGGGUUUGGAGAGGCCCUCCUUGUUUUCCGGGGCCGUGAGCCGUAGGAAGCAUGUCAACCAUGGCAAACCGGAGGAUCAGGAAAUCAAAGAUUCCAUUCACUUGCCCUGGAGUUUGAGGACUUCUUCCAGAAAAACUCUUUUUGUGAAACCAACACUGUGUAAUCAACAGUUGCGUGAAGAGGUCUGGGAGCAGUCCAUAUAAGAACAGCCUCUGUUCUGCAGGCAUAGGAGAACAGAAAAGGCUGAAACAUGCAUGUUGUUGCUUGAUUUCGUGCGUAGAGCACCCGGGACAUCUGAGAUUUGCUCCCUCAAAUCUCCAGCUUACAUGGUCCUCUGAUGAAGAAAGGAGAGAGCAGAAAAAAAAAAUGGGAGAGGAGGACAGAGAAAAAUUCAGGUCUGGCUUCAGUACAUUUGAAUUCUAGCUGUCUGGGGCAUUCUCCCAAAUAGUGAAUGCUAAUUAGACUGAGUGUGUCAAAUUGUGUCGUAUUUUUGUAAAUCAAACAAAUGUUCCCAGGAGAUAGGCGGGAGGCCACCAAACCCCAUUCAUUUAUGAUGCACCCUGAAUUUAAAGCCAGGACUCGGGAGGGGAUAGGUUGCUGUGAGUUUAUUUAAUCUUGUGACAUGUGCCUUGCACCUUCAAUGUCACCCUGAUAUAAGGUCUGCAGGUUUCACCUGAUGCUUUUAUCUAAACAGUUAAAAUGCUACUAGGGAUGGCUGUAGCACUUUUUAGAGACACUACGGAUAAACAAAUUGUUUUGAGGGCCACAGGUUGUAGGGCUUUUCUUCGGGAAAGGAGAAAUAGAUCCUAGUGCCAGGUCGGUCUUCCUAAAACACCUCUGCACGUUUCCCCCCUGCCCUUCAAACCCUCCAUGCUUUGCCCUUGUUUACUAAAUGAUGCCUAAAUGCCACAGAGGCAAAGCAUUCCCAGCCCGGAGCUCACUGUUGCUGCGUCUCACAUGCCAAGCAGAUGGGACUCUGCCGCGUUUCAUGGAUGGAUGUCAUGGAUCUGACUCUCCCAGUCUUUGCUGACGCCUGUCAUUCCUAAUUCCUGGGAGGCCCUCAGGGACUCUCUUCCCUAAAACCUAUCUCUUAAUCAUUGAAAUCCUGCUCACCACUAAAGGAGCAGUAUACAUACCCCCUUCUUCAAGGGGUUCACCCUAUUUCUUCUCUGUCUCCAGCUAGAAAU